AGCGAACGUUUGCGGCGGGCUUAACACAUGCAAGUCGAACGAGAAUCCCUUCGGGGAGGAAAGUGGCGCACGGGUGCGUAACACGUGGAUAACCAACCCAUUGGUUUGGGACAACACCGGGAAACUGGUGCUAAUACCAGAUGUGUCGCAGCUGUCUUCAGGCGGUUGCGAGAAAGGCCCGCAAGGGUCGCCAGCGGACGGGUCCGCGUCCCAUCAGCUAGUUGGUGAGGUAAUGGCUCACCAAGGCAAAGACGGGUAGCUGGUCUGAGAGGAUGAUCAGCCACACUGGAACUGAGACACGGUCCAGACUCCUACGGGAGGCAGCAGUGGGGAAUAUUGCGCAAUGGGCGAAAGCCUGACGCAGCCACGCCGCGUGAGCGAUGAAGGUCUUCGGAUCGUAAAGCUCUGUGGGGGGANAAGAAGAAAGCCGGUGAAGAGCCGGCCCUGACGGUAUCCCCUUAGCAAGCACCGGCUAACUCCGUGCCAGCAGCCGCGGUAA
rnacentral:rRNA from 1 species